GCGCCUCAGGGAGCCGAAAGCGCGGGACACCAUCGCCUCCGGUCCUCCCGCCUGCUGGCGCCCGAACUUCAUCCCCCCGCGCCCAAAACAAGGAAUACUCACUGGAAUUUCAUCUGUGGAAAAUCCUCUCAUGGAGCUUACAGAGGGGCAGAGACAAAACACUUGUUUACCAAGUCUGAGUGGCCUGUACCUGCAAUAGAGAUGUUCUGAGAGUGCCCAGAAGACACAGUGCAGCUCCUGCCCUUCAUCACAGGAACAGGACUGAAGAGGUGUGAUAAGAGUGUGGAGCAUUAAUGGAGCGGGAUGCUCAGUGCCAGAGGGGAGGAGGGAUACUUUGAUCAGUCACCAGGAUAAAAGCUGAGCUGCUUUACAACACAGCCUGCUGGAAAGUAGUUGUUAGAAAAACGUGUCUAUUAAAAGGUCAGGCGUGGUCCUGUGUUCUGGACUGACACUUGCACAAGCUGGUAAAUUAUACAUAAUGAACACCUUAUUAGGUUAAUUUUGUCUAUUUGGGGUCAUCGUGA